rnacentral:lncRNA from 1 species
AUGUGAAUCCAGUAUCCUUUAUUGAUGAUGUAAAUUUCUUUUUUUAGCAGAAUACAAUCAAAGUCGCUCACAUACACGAGCGUACACUCACCUCUAUGAACGCACGCACGCACACCCUAUCUCUGACGCCUUCGUUGUCGAUGGAACGUCUCCUCCCACUGAAAGCACAUCGCCGGAAGACCUGGAAUAAAUCAAAAAAAAAAUGCAAGCACCAACGUCAAGUCUGGGACUUGAAUUCUGGUGGGCAGGGGAUACCACAGUUCACCUAACCAUCCAACCACGAAUUGGUUUGCGAUGAUGUAAACUUCUAUUUAUACAGUGUCUAAAGAGAUGAGCGAAUAGGCAUCUAUUCAAAAGACACACAAGUGAACCGACAUGUCCAUUGCCUAAAGGCAACUGCCGGUGGUUCCACACAAGCACGGAUUAACUGCAUAAUUAACACGUGCUAAUUAAUUCUAACACUCCUCCUAAUCAAUGCUUGUCUAUGUAGUAAUAUCAUCUUGAAAGGUAGCUCCUCCAAAAACUCUGUGGAAAAAAUAUGAAGAGAUAUGUUGCUAAAACUCCUUCAAACCCACUGGAAAAUAUAAGAAGAAAAUUGAUGUAACAUAUAAUGGUUAUUGCCUCUUUUAAAUCAAUAUGAGGAAACUCAUAGAAUUAAGAUGACAAUGAAUAUGUCGU